GAUGAACGCUGGCGGCGUGCUUAACACAUGCAAGUCGAACGGUGAAGGCGGAGCUUGCUCUGCUGGAUCAGUGGCGAACGGGUGAGUAACACGUGAGCAAUCUGCCCCUGACUCUGGGAUAAGCGCUGGAAACGGCGUCUAAUACUGGAUACGAGCUGCGAAGGCAUCUUCAGCAGCUGGAAAGAACUUCGGUCAGGGAUGAGCUCGCGGCCUAUCAGCUUGUUGGUGAGGUAACGGCUCACCAAGGCGUCGACGGGUAGCCGGCCUGAGAGGGUGACCGGCCACAAGAGGACUACGGGACGGACCAGAAUCGUACGGGAGGCAACAGGGGGGAGUAUUACACAAUGGGCGAGAGCCUGAUGCAGCAACGCCGCGUGAGGGACGACGGCCUUCGGGUUGUAAACCUCUGUGAGCGGGGAAGAAGCGAAAGUGACGGUACCUGCAGAGAAAGCGCCGGCUAACUACGUG
rnacentral:rRNA from 1 species